rnacentral:tRNA from 1 species
GGAGGCGGAUGGGUGCUGGUGUGCCUGGCGGACUUCAAAUCCGUAUGGUCUGCGAAAGUGGACCGGUAGGUUCGAUUCCUACACGCCUCCGCCA